CCUAUACAUGCAGUCGAGCGGACUUGAAGAGAAGCUUGCUUCUCUGAUGGUUAGCGGCGGACGGGUGAGUAACACGUAGGCAACCUGCCCUCAAGUUUGGGACAACUACCGGAAACGGUAGCUAAUACCGAAUAGUUGUUUCCUUCGCCUGAAGGAAACUGGAAAGACGGAGCAAUCUGUCACUUGGGGAUGGGCCUGCGGCGCAUUAGCUAGUUGGUGGGGUAACGGCUCACCAAGGCGACGAUGCGUAGCCGACCUGAGAGGGUGAUCGGCCACACUGGGACUGAGACACGGCCCAGACUCCUACGGGAGGCAGCAGUAGGGAAUCUUCCGCAAUGGGCGAAAGCCUGACGGAGCAAUGCCGCGUGAGUGAUGAAGGUUUUCGGAUCGUAAAGCUCUGUUGCCAGGGAAGAACGCUUGGGAGAGUAACUGCUCUCAAGGUGACGGUACCUGAGAAGAAAGCCCCGGCUAACUACGUGCCAGCAGCCGCGGUAAUACGUAGGGGGCAAGCGUUGUCCGGAAUUAUUGGGCGUAAAGCGCGCGCAGGCGGUCAUUUAAGUCUGGUGUUUAAUCCCGGGGCUCAACCCCGGAUCGCACUGGAAACUGGGUGACUUGAGUGCAGAAGAGGAGAGUGGAAUUCCACGUGUAGCGGUGAAAUGCGUAGAUA
rnacentral:rRNA from 1 species